UCAAACGCAGUGGGUGGGUAAGAGCAGAAGCUCGGUGAAGGGUCCCAUGUUCUAGAAUCUCAUCUGACCUACGCUCUCCUUCCUCUCAGGAGAACACCUUCUUCAUGCAGCAGUUUUCUUCUGGAAACCAGAAUACUGGAUACUGAACCAUAGCAAGGUUCACCCAGGUGGUCCCGGCUUGAGGAGGACUUACAAGGAACGUGGCAUUUUCAUCAUCUUUUCCUCAUCUUCCUCAUUGAGGAGAUCGAUGCUGAAGAGAUUAAAUACCUUGACCAACAUCACACAGCUGGCAGUGGCAGAGCCACUGUGCAAAGUGUGCACAGAGAGGGGAGGCCAUGUGAGGACACAGCAAGAAGGUGGCCGUCUAAAAACUUAAGAAAGAGGCCUAAG